GUGCAUAUAGCCCAGUUGGUAGAGCCAGAGUCUCUUAAUCUCAGGGCCGUGGGUUCAAGCCCCACAUUGGGCA